AGCUUCUAAGAAUAGAGUUUACAAAUCGGAAAUGAAAGAAAUACAUAGUCUGUUUGAAAAGUAUAUAAACAGAGUUUUAUAAGCUAAGGCUACCCCGAACAAAGGAGGCAGCUACAACAGGGAUGCCAGUACAUCUUCAAGUCCCGCAACCAUCAAGCACAGCAGCAGCAACAACCAACAUCUGCACACAAUAUGCAGAAGUGUAGUAUCAGUACAACCGACCCUAUGUACUGAGUAAGUAACAGACCUAACCUUAGGUUGAAAGCAGUGACGAGCUAACACAGGAUCGGGUCCAUGCCAAUAUUUUCCACAACAGUUCAUAACAACGUAAAUGCAGUUAUAAAAGAGAUAUCUCAAAAGUAAAAUAUUUAGCUCGUUCAUAGUUCCAAAAAAUGGUCAUGCUUUUCAAAUAUCUCACUGAAAGAACAUCUCAAAUCUCUUACCGAAAAUGCCAAAAGUAUGAGCAAGUUUGAAAACUGUAAUUUUUCAAAUAUCCUUUUCACAAUAAAUAAAAUGUUUCAUUUUCUUUCCAAGUAACAAGUAUAAAGUGUCUCUCUAUACCUACAUAUCAAUGUAUAUAAUAAGUCACGAAUGAUGUGAUACUAUAUAGCAUAAGGAAAAAUACAUAUAUAUGUCUGUAUAUCAUGUAUGCAUGUAAAUGUCAUGUAUUUUAGAGCUGAAACAUGUACUCACACUCUCAGAAUACUCAAUCUCAUUACCUCGCAUCCUCUCUCACGAAGCUCAAUACUCAGCACACUAAAUCACUCAGCGGUGUAUAAUAACUGUUGCGGCGUAUAGCCCGAUCCAUAUAUAUAUAGUCGACUGUGCUCACUGGGGUGUACAGACUUUAUAGGAGCCUCACUGUGGUGUGCAGCCCGACCCAAUAUCAUUGCGGCGUGCAGCCCGGUCCAUAUAUCGUUGCGGUGUGUAUCCCAAUCCAUAUACAUAAUAUAAUCAAUAUAUCGUUGCAGCGUGCAUCCCGAUCCCAUAAAGUACAAUAGAUAUAAUAUGCUACGGCGUGCAGUCCGAUCCAAAAAAAUGUCACUCUCACUCAGGCCCUCAACCUUACUCAAUCAUCAAUAUCUCUAGUCUCACUCAGGGCACACAAUGUCAUGAAUCUAGCCCGACAACAAUGAUAUGAUAUAUAAAUAACAACAACUGAGACUAAGAUAUAAUAUGAAUGCAUAAAUGUGACUGAGAACAAAAAUAUCAAUGGAAAUCAGUGAGACGACAACUAGAAAUAACCACUAUGAGUGCAAACAAUAUCAGCAUGAAGUCUAAACAUUAUGUUUAGCAUGAUUGACAACUCAAUUACUUUAUCACAUGGUGAAAACACAAAUAUCAACAAAAUAGAGCCACUAUACAGGGCCAUGGGAACAACAGAGUCCCAAUUUACAGGGUGUACGCCCACACGACCACUCAUAAAAUCCGACAAAUAUUCAAUUACGAGUACAACCAUACUAGUUUCACUUAAAUCCGACUCCGAAUCGAUGUUCAAAACUCAAAAGUUCACUUUAUGAAACUUUAGGCAAAACCCCCUAAAUUUCAGUUUGAAAUCAUCAAUCAAAUCCCAAAAAUGAAGAUGGAUUCAUGAAAUAUAACCAAAACCGAGUAGAGAACACUUACCUCAAUCCAUAUGGUGAAAAUCGCCUCUACAAUCGCCCAAAUCUGAGCUCCUCAACUCAAAAUUUGACCGAAUGAACAAACCCUUAUUUUAUAUAUAUUUUUGCCAGUUAUUUUGCAUCGUUUCACAUGCAAAACAAUCCCAAAACUCACCUUUUAUACCUCUAAUGGAUUCCUUGUGAAAAUUUAGUCAAUUUAGGCUUUUGAAUCACUCAAUUUGACCUUAUAAUGAAGGAGAUAUGUUGGUUUCAAUAUUUGCAAAUAGUGCAAAUUUUUAAAUACGAAUUCAGUAGCAAUUUCGUAAUUAAUCUGGAAAAAAAUCUGGCAACCCAAUUUUUAGUAAAAUGACUAUAAAUUCCUCAUACAAUGUCCAAAUCCAUCGAUUCUUUUUGCUAUGGCUCCGUAAUUACGAUACGAUCUAAUGCUUCAAUCAAAAUCGAAAUUGGAGCUCAUUUACGUAAUGUGGUACCAUUUAUGCUUGAAGAAACGACGUCAAAACAUAAGAAAAACGAGCGCAAUGCAGCCAAACCUAUCCGAAACUCACCCGAGCUUCUCGAGACUCCGUAUAAACAUACUAAAAAGUCCUAUAACAUAACAUGAACCAACUCAAUACCUCAAAUCUUUCAUAACAAUAUUUGAACGACGAAACACGCUUCAAAUCAAACUAAAUAAACUUUUGAACUUUCGACUUCCAAAAACCCGUGUCGAAACAUAUCAAAUCAUCUCAGAAUUAAUUGAAAUUUUGCACACAAGUCCUAAUACAACAUACGGAGCUACCCGUGCCCCCAAACUACUGAGCGAAAUACAAAUGCUCAACACGACCGGUUAGAUCAUUACAAAUUUAUCUUCAGAUGACUUUUGUGUCACGGUAGUUAGUGCAUUAAGAAACCAUUAUCAGCAAUUAAAUCAUCUGAUAGUGGCAUUACAUCAUAUUUAAUUCUCCUAUAUAUAAAGUGCCUAAGGAACAUGUUUUGCUGACAGGAGUUUGGCGGCAUGCCACUUAAACUUUUAUAUUUUUGUCCUUGAUUUUCAGUAUUAUAACGUUUGUUGCCAUCAGAUAAUUUUGUAAAUGAAGGGAACUUCGUAGGCAUUUUCAAAGCCCACCCACGUAUCCAUAGUCCAUCAUUUUUUAUUACUGUCACAGGGACACAUGUGAAGAGCUAAAUGAAACAGUGGACCCAUUUGUUUAGGUGUGUUCCCGAGAUACUAUACUUUAUUACUAACAUUGUACGCCCAUGUCUUCUUUAUCUUUGCUAAUCUCCGGGGGCAAAGUCACCUUCUUCUAGGGGUUAGAAAAAUUACAUUGUAUUUAUAAGUAAAAUAUUGGAUUUUAGAUGUAACAAAAGAUUACACUGUAAUUUGAGAAUAGCUAACAAAAGAUUUAUUGUACUUACCCACUUUAUCUGUGAAAGGAAAAUUGAGGGAAGACAAUGCACAACAAAAGGGUAAAACAAUAUCUAAAGUGGCAACAUCAUGGGUCAAUGUUGAAAUUACAGUGGAACUCCUUUCAAUAGAAGGUUCAUAUUUGAGGAGAUUGACAAAUUAGUACCAUUAAAAAUACGGCACUAAGUUUUCAACAUUUUAUCAAACAUGAAAGAAGCAGUAGUGGAGAAACACACCAGUAAAUAACUUCUUGAAGAUGAAAAUACAGUAAAGCGAGAGAAAGCAGAGAUCGUCGAGAGGUGGCCAGAGAGAUUUGGGAACUUUCAUAUAGUGUCCUACAAAUAAAACUCAG
rnacentral:lncRNA from 1 species